GGGACUGUUUGGGCUGUAUUGUAAGCAGGUGAACUUGUUGUGGCGAUAACGCCAUUUUAUUUUUGCUAGUAACUCCAGGCUGGAGGUGUGUUUCUUUCCCCUUACCAUGAGUUUGAUGUUCUCUGCAGCACUGGAGCGACAGGUGGAGGAGGGUGUGGCGGUCAUUACCAGCAGAUGGACAUACUAUUCUAAUAAGGCCCAGAUGCACCUCAUCUGACAAACAGCAACAGGUAAUCGCUGCCCUCCCUUGCUGGAGGUGGGACUCCUCAGAAACUCCGGUCCUGUCCUGUGUAUGUCCUUCGUCCUUCUCCUGUCUCUCUCCUACUCCACUGGCUUUAAAUGUGAAACCUGGUCUGAUUCAAUCCCUCUCUCUUUCUCUCUCUCCUUUCUAUAGUGAGGUAACUGAAUCUGGCUUAAAGGAUUCCUCGUCUGCCCCUGUGUAGCGCUGUGUUUCAGAGCUGCAGCGACCAAGCCCUGCUGACAAAACAAAACUGAAAUAUUCCAGGUAGCAGCAGACACUGUUUCGAUGACACGGGGCUUUGGAAAAUGGCUCCAUUGCCUUCUACGCUCAUGCUGACACAGUACACUCUUUCCCAUCUGAGAGACCUGAAAGUCGUGUUCCUCUGGUCGUCCCCUAAGUCA